rnacentral:rRNA from 1 species
UACGUAGGGUGCAAGCGUUGUCCGGAAUUAUUGGGCGUAAAGAGCUCGUAGGCGGUCUGUUACGUCGGCUGUGAAAACCUGGGGCUCAACCCCGGGCCUGCAGCCGAUACGGGCAGACUAGAAUUCGGUAGGGGAGACUGGAAUUCCUGGUGUAGCGGUGAAAUGCGCAGAUAUCAGGAGGAACACCGGUGGCGAAGGCGGGACUCUGGGCCGAUACUGACGCUGAGGAGCGAAAGCGUGGGGAGCAAACAGG